rnacentral:rRNA from 1 species
GUAGGGAGCAAGCGUUGUCCGGCUUUACUGGGUGUAAAGGGUGCGUAGGCGGCUUUGCAAGUCAGAAGUGAAAUCCCUGGGCUUAACCCAUGAACUGCUUUUGAAACUGCAGAGUUUGAGUGGAGUAGAGGUAGGCGGAAUUCCCGGUGUAGCGGUGAAAUGCGUAGAGAUCGGGAGGAACACCAGUGGCGAAGGCGGCCUGCUGGGCUCUAACUGACGCGGAGGCACGAAAGCGUGGGUAGCAAA